UGUACAUAUAUGAAUAGUAUUCCUUUCUCCACAGGGUUUUUACAGUAUCUAUGGCAACCUUUUUGCCCUCAUAGUCCAGGAGGAGUGCCAGUUUUCAGAUGAGGAGAGCCUACUCUAUCUCCCUCCUUUUGGGCAAUCAACAAGCAAUUAUGAAGAGGUGGUACAUCCAUUUUAUGCUCAUUGGCAAAGUUUUUCUACCCAGCGUCCAUACCACUGGCUCAACAAGUAUGACAGGACUCAGGCAGCGAAUCGAAAGGUCGAGAAAUUGAUGGAAAAAGAUAAUAAGAAGAUAAGAGAUGCUGCAAAGAAGAAAAGGAAUGAGACCGUCCGGCAACUCGUGGCCUAUGUGCGCAAAAGAGACAAAAGAGUUAUUGAGUACCGGAAAACUUUAGCCAAGAGAGAAAUUGAGA